rnacentral:rRNA from 1 species
GGAGGCUACUGCUAUUGGGAUUCGACUAAGCCAUGCGAGUCAAGGUGUCUUCGGACGCCGGCGUACGGCUCAGUAACACGUAGGUAACCUACCCUCAGGACUGAGAUAACCCCGGGAAACUGGGGCUAAUAUUAGAUAGAUAAAAGAUACUGGAAUGUUCUUUUAUCCAAAGCUUUUGCGCCUGAGGAUGGGCCUGCGUCCGAUUAGGUUGUUGGUGGGGUAAUGGCCCACCAAGCCUACGAUCGGUACGGGCAGUGAGAGCUGAAGCCCGGAGUUGGGGACUGAGACAAGGCCCCAGGCCCUACGGGGCGCAGCAGGCGCGAAACCUCUGCAAUGCGGGAAACCGUGACAGGGGGAUCCCAAGUGCUCAUGCAUUGCAUGGGCUGUUCUUUGGUCUAAGUAACCAGAGGAGUAAGGGCUGGGCAAGACCGGUGCCAGCCGCCGCGGUAAUACCGGCAGCUCAAGUGGUAGCCGCGAUUAUUGGGCCUAAAGCGUUCGUAGCCGGAUAAGUAAGUCUUUGGUUAAAUCCUGCGACUUAACCGUGGGAAAUCUAGAGAUACUGCUUGUCUUGAGACCGGGAGAGGUUGGAGGUACUCCCAGGGUAGGGGUGAAAUCCUGUAAUCCUGGGGGGACCACCUGUGGCGAAGGCGUCCAACUGGAACGGGUCUGACGGUGAGGGACGAAACCUAGGGGAGCGAGCCGGAUUAGAUACCCGGGUAGUCCUAGGCGUAAAUGAUGCGAGUUAAGUGUGGGGGCAUCCACGAGAUGGCCCUGUGCUGUAGGGUAGCCGUUAAACUCGCCGCCUGGGGAGUACGGUCGCAAGGCUGAAACUUAA